rnacentral:rRNA from 1 species
UGCCAGACUCCUACGGGAGGCAGCAGUGGGGGAUAUUGCACAAUGGGGGCAACCCUGAUGCAGCGACGCCGCGUGAGCGAUGGAGUACUUCGGUAUGUAAAGCUCUGUCAGCAGGGAAGAGAAUGACGGUACCUGACCAAGAAGCCCCGGCUAAAUACGUGCCAGCAGCCGCGGUAAUACGUAUGGGGCAAGCGUUAUCCGGAUUUACUGGGUGUAAAGGGAGCGCAGGCGGCGCGCCAAGUCUGAUGUGAAACCCCGGGGCUCAACCCCAGGCAUGCAUUGGAAACUGGCGGGCUGGAGUGCCGGAGAGGUAAGCGGAAUUCCUAGUGUAGCGGUGAAAUGCGUAGAUAUUAGGAGGAACACCGGUGGCGAAGGCGGCUUACUGGACGGCAACUGACGCUGAGGCUCGAAAGCGUGGGGAGCAAACAGGAUUAGAUACCCCAGUAAUC